CUCCAUCUCCUCCGCCGCCGGGCGCGUGGUCACCAGCUUGCCUGGCUUCGACGGCGACCUCCCCUUCCACCUCGAAACAGGGUGCGUGCCUACCUUCUUUGUUCUUUCUUCUACUAGUAGUGUUGUUCUUCUUCUUCUUCUUCAUCGUCCUGGUAGCUCACGGCACAUUUGAUAGGAUUUUAAUUAAUUAAUUAAUUGCGGUUGCUCUGAAACUGGAAACUGAAUUUAAAGGUACGUGGAGGUGGACGAGGACGCCGGCGUCGAGCUCUUCUACUACUUCGUCCGGUCCGAGUCCGAGUCCGAGUCCGGCGACGCCCCUUUCCUCUUCUGGCUCACCGGCGGCGACCGCUGCUCCGUCUUCAGCGGCCUCGCCU
rnacentral:lncRNA from 1 species